rnacentral:RNase_P_RNA from 1 species
AGUAGUGGAAGGCUAGCUUACGGAGACUGCAUUAAUGCAGUUUUCUGAGGAAAGUCCGCCCUCCCCGUCUUUUCUUUCUUUUAGAAAAAGAAAGAAAAUAUAGGUUGUCAAAAGAAAGAAAACUUUUUUUUGGCAAACCCUGAAAGGGAAUGCUCGAAAGGGCAUCUUUGGGAACAGAAACGAACCUGCAAAGAAUUACUGUGAUUUAAAUUGAGUUUUCUUUGAAAGGAUGAAACGGCCUGAAGUUGGGAGCAAGUUUAAAACGCUAAGACGAAUGCUAGCAAGCUUGGCAGGUUUAAAUCCUGCGAAGUUCUUCAAUGAACUUUACUGCAAAUGCAGGGCUUAACAGAAGGUGGCUUACUCUCCACUGCU